rnacentral:tRNA from 1 species
GGGCCCAAGGUGUAAUGUUUGCAUGUCUCUUUUGCAAGGAGUUGGUCAGGGUUAGAUUCCCUGUGGGUCCACCA